AGUGAACGCUGGCGGUAGGCCUAACACAUGCAAGUCGAACGGCAGCACAGUAAGAGCUUGCUCUUACGGGUGGCGAGUGACGGACGGGUGAGGAAUACAUCGGAAUCUACUUUUUCGUGGGGGAUAACGUAGGGAAACUUACGCUAAUACCGCAUACGACCUACGGGUGAAAGCAGGGGAUCUUCGGACCUUGCGCGAUUGAAUGAGCCGAUGUCGGAUUAGCUAGUUGGCGGGGUAAAGGCCCACCAAGGCGACGAUCCGUAGCUGGUCUGAGAGGAUGAUCAGCCACACUGGAACUGAGACACGGUCCAGACUCCUACGGGAGGUAGCAGUGGGGAAUAUUGGACAAUGGGCGCAAGCCUGAUCCAGCCAUACCGCGUGGGUGAAGAAGGCCUUCGGGUUGUAAAGCCCUUUUGUUGGGAAAGAAAAGCAGCAGGUUAAUACCCCGCUGUUCUGACGGUACCCAAAGAAUAAGCACCGGCUAACUUCGUG
rnacentral:rRNA from 1 species